rnacentral:rRNA from 1 species
AGCGAACGCUGGCGGCAGGCCUAACACAUGCAAGUCGAACGAACCUUUCGGGGUUAGUGGCGGACGGGUGAGUAACACGUGGGAACGUGCCUUUAGGUUCGGAAUAACUCAGGGAAACUUGUGCUAAUACCGAAUGUGCCCUUCGGGGGAAAGAUUUAUCGCCUUUAGAGCGGCCCGCGUCUGAUUAGCUAGUUGGUUGAGGUAAUGGCUCACCAAGGCGACGAUCAGUAGCUGGUCUGAGAGGAUGAUCAGCCACAUUGGGACUGAGACACGGCCCAAACUCGUACGGGAGGCAGCAGUAGGGAAUCUUGCGCAAUGGGCGAAAGCCUGACGCAGCCAUGCCGGGUGAAUGAUGAAGGUCUUAGGAUUGUAAAAUUCUUUCACCGGGGACGAUAAUGACGGUACCCGGAGAAGAAGCCCCGGCUAACUUCGUG